UACGGGGGUGCGAGCGUUGUCCGGAAUCACUGGGCGGUAAAGGGCGCGUAGGUGGUCUGAUAAGGGUGUGGUGAAGCCGGGCCUCAACCCGGGUCGGCCGUGCCGACUGUUAGACUAGAGUGCUGUAGGGGCAGGCGGAAUUCCGGGUGUAGCGGUGGAAUGCGUAGAGAUACCGGAGGAAGACCGGUGGCGAAGGCGGCCUGCUGGGCGAGUACUGACACUGAGGCGCGACAGCGUGGGGAGCAAACAGG
rnacentral:rRNA from 1 species